CUUAUUGCAUUGUGUAUUUUAUAUAUUAAUGAUUAUGACAAUUGUUUGGGUGUCAUGAAUUGAUUUGAUCAUUUUUUGCUUUUGUUAUAUAUGAAAAUCGUGCUUGGAUAUUCGAUAUGUAUAUCUGUUGCAUCUUCUACGUGUUUUUUGAAUUAUUUUUGCGUGUAAGAAUCAUGGGUUUGAUUUUUAAUUUCAUUUUUUGUUAAGUUGAUUUUGAAGUUGAUUUGUUUUAUAUUAAGUGUAAUGAAGUCAGUGGAAGUUUGUUCCUUGUUUUGGUUAUGUAAAAUAUAGCUCUUUUGGCAGAUGAAAAUUAAGUGAUGCCUUGAUGGCUCUUUAUGGCUGGUAACUCUAUUUUUUUUUUGAGAUAAAAGAGAAGUAUAUUAAUAGAAAGGCUCUAAGGGGGAGCCACCCAUGUACAAAAUGUCUGGUAACUCUAUGUGACAAGGAGAGAGUUUAUAUAAAUAUAUGCACUUUAGUGGAUGUAGGGAUGGACUAUCCUGCUCCUUCCAUACCCGGUCUGAUAAGGUUUUUCUACGUAAGAAUUUGAUUCGUGUCGCAGCAGGUAUGAGUUGGCGAGAAAUGAUGAUAAGGUCAGGGCGGGUUUGGGUUUGGGUUCGGGUUCAGGUUUUUAUAUUAUAAGUGUGGGUUAGGUUUUUGGUUGUCGAAAUCUGCUGCGUUGCCAUUCCUAAAUGAAUGUCUGUUCUACCUAUGGAGGAUACGCAAUUUGGAAAAUAUCCUAAAAGGGAUAUUUGAUCUGGCAUUAAAUUGUAAGCAAAUUCCAAUUUAUGAAAAUAAGCUGAAGUUUACUUGGAAAGAUGCUUCGGAGGUAAAUUAUGAAGUUGCUUUCUUUGGCAUGGUCUUCUUGACUGUAGAAAAUUAUAUGCAAGGGGAAUAAUUUUUUUGUUAAGCUAUGCAGCAUAACUAAGAAGGAUCUGUGGGGCUGCUGGAAUCAAUUGCUCUUAUUUGUACUUCAACUAGAAAUGUUGGUGCUGGUGGGUUUGGUGGCUCAUGAACUUAGGUCUUGAAAUGGAGGGGCAUUUUUUAUUUUUUUUUAAAAAACAAAGAAUCUGAUUGGGUUGUUGCCCUUGUUGAUCUAAUAGGCUGGAGUGAGAGGAAUGGAAUGCUUUUGGUGGGAUUAGAGGACUUCUUUGUACAUAGCCAGAUUGUUAGAUGUAUGCUUGUAGUUUUAGGUGCUGAUAUUGCUUUUUACAAAUCAAUUUUCCAUUUACCUGAUAUAGAAGCUUGGGAUACUCUACUUAAUUGUUGCUUGUUACACGUGCAAAUGAAGAGUCUUGUUCCCUGAAGUUGAAAUGCUUUGUGUAUACAAUGCAUUUUGCGAAGAUGCUCUUAGCUUUCAAAGUUCGGAAGCUCUCAACUUUUAUCUUAGGUUAUUAUGAUCCUCCCAUUUUGAUGAACUGUUUAUACUUUUUAAUCUUAUUUAUUGAAUUCUACUAUCAUAUAAUUCUUGAAUAAUCUGGAUGCAGGCGACUUUUGAGUGUCUUCUGAAGACCUAUGGUUUCCUGACACCUGAUUUCUGGAGAGAAACCCGCUUCUCCAAGUCUCCCUUCCAGGAGUAUACCGAUCUUUUAGCUAAGCCUACAAAAGCUAUCAUUCACGAAGACCUCGAGAGAGUUGAAGCCUGAUUGCCCCUCCCCUUGUUUUUUCCCCAGAGAAGGGAGUCAUUAUGUGGAGCAUAGCUUGUUUAGGUUUUUAAGACACUUUCCUUCUAUCCUUGUUGUUUCUUGUGUUCGGGAUUUUGAGAUGAAUAUGUUUGGCAUUACGUGCCGUCUCAAACAAUGGUUAUGGUUUUUGGUGGUUAAAUUUUACAUUUUGAUUGAUCUUUGGUGAAUUGCCUGUAUCAAUCUUAAAUUUUCUCAAUCUAAUCAUUUUGGCUGUUUCUUUGUUGAAGAAAAUGAGAUCCAUCUCGGUGGGAAAACAUCUAGGAGGGAUUGACUAAAUGUUUCAAGAACACUUGUAAGAAACUCAAGCACAUUCUUAUGUGCUUGAAUGGAGUGAUUACUUUUUAUAAAAUAAAGUUUCAAAUUAUUUUAAUUUCAUAUGUAAACUUUAUUCUAUGUAUUUAGAAAAUACAAAAUAGUAAGUAUUACUUUUAUAUAUUAAGCAAAAAUUUUAUUUUUCUAUCACUAAUUAGGCUGUAAUUUUCUUUUACCCUAAGAUUCUUUUAGUAUUAAACAUUUGAUAAAAUUUAUUAUAAGAAUUUUAAUACUAUAUGAUACAUAAAUUUUACGUUAUUUUUAUUAAUUUCCAAAAAAUAUUGAUUAUUGAUUAUUAAUAAUUCCAUAAUAUAAACACAUUUUUUUUAACACAUAAUUAACAUAUUUUUAUUUAUUUUUAACAACUUAUAAAUGUCAUAAACCCAUAAGUCUAAUAGGCUUAUAAGCUGAAUAAACUCUGCCGUCGGCCCAUUAGCUUCGGCCCAUUAAUACCUGAUGAUUCUUGUCCAGCUAAGUGACUUCCGAUUGCACACAUAUUUAAGCUGAAAACCCUAGUUCGUGCUGAAGAAAACCCUCGCUGCCGUCUCUUCUACAGAAAAAUCUAUACUCACCUCGCCCGCGUAUCCUGCCUCACGAACACUCGUAACUAUGGCAGACAGAGGGGCGGCGGGAGGCGACAGGGGAGGAUUCCGUCGCGGCUUUGGCGGAGGCCCCCGCGGAGGCCGUGGUGGUCGUCGCCGCCCGAGGAAGGAAGAGGAAGAGAAGUGGGUACCCGUCACGAAGCUAGGACGCCUCGUAAGGGAAGGUAAGAUCCGCUCAUUGGAGCAAAUCUAUCUCCACUCCCUCCCUAUCAAGGAGCACCAGAUCAUCGACCAACUGGUCGGUCCUUCCUUGAAAGAUGAGGUUAUGAAGAUCACCCCGGUCCAGAAGCAGACUCGGGCAGGCCAGCGUACCAGGUUCAAGGCCUUUGUUGUCGUCGGUGACGGGAACGGGCAUGUAGGUUUAGGUGUUAAGUGCUCGAAAGAGGUGGCCACGGCCAUCAGAGGCGCCAUUAUUCUCGCUAAGUUAUCUGUUAUUCCUGUAAGGAGAGGGUACUGGGGAAACAAGAUCGGGAAGCCUCAUACAGUACCGUGUAAGGUAACUGGCAAGUGUGGAUCGGUCACGGUCAGGAUGGUGCCGGCCCCUAGAGGUGCUGGAAUCGUGGCUGCUCGGGUGCCCAAGAAAGUGCUUCAAUUUGCCGGGAUUGAGGAUGUGUUUACCUCCUCCAGGGGCUCUACUAAAACUCUUGGUAACUUUGUCAAGGUAUAGCUCAUUGCAUCGUUUUUUCUUUUCUUCUUGUUGUUUAUGUGAAUUAUUUACGUUUUAUGAAUUGGUUCGGUCGCUGUUUGCUUGUGUUAAUUACGAAAAUUGUUUGUUGAUUACAGUGUUUUUUUAUUAGAUAUCUGAUAUGCACUUCUUUUGUAUCUUGGACAUGUUUUGUCAAAUGUUGUUGCGUGUAAGAAUCACGGGUUUGAUUUGCGACUUAUUUAUUCCUCAGCUGAUUUUGAAAUUGAUUAUUUUAGUGUUUAUAUUAAGUGUUAGGUCACUGAAAAUAUGUUAUUUGUUUUGAGUCUCUAAAUCUGUGUGUCAAAUUUUGUUUUCAAGGGUGUUGCUUCUCUAUCAGAUGAAAAUUAAGGGUGUUUUCUUCUUUUGUUAGCAUGGUGAUGCCUUGAUUACUCUUUAUGGCUGGUUACCUAUAUGCUUAUAAAGAGAGAAUUUAUAUACAUAUAUGCACUUUAAUGAAGAUCUGUUGUACCUAUGGAGGGUAGGCAAUUCAGAGAAUAUCCUAAAAGCAAUCCAUGAUCUGGGGUUUUAUUGUAAACAAAUUCCAAUUUGACGAAAAUGAGAUGAAAUCUACUUGGAAAGAUGCUUCAGAGGUGAACUAUGGAGGUGCUUUAUUUGGCAUGGUUUUCUUGGCCUUAGAAAAUCAUAUAGAAGGGGAAUAUUUUUUGUUAAGCUAUGCAGCAUAGAAGGAUCUGCAUGCACCGCUGCAAUCGAUUGCUCUUUUGUGUAAUUCACUGGAAAUGGUGGUGCUGGCGGGCUUUGUGGCUCAUGAACUUCAGUCUUGGAGGAGGAUUUUUCUUUGAGAAAAAAAAACAAAAAAUCUGAAUGGGUUGUUACCGGUGUUGAUUUUUCAGCCUGAGUUGAGAAGAGUUGAAUGCUUUUGGCGGGUAUAGGGAACUAUGUAUAUAGCCAGACCUUUAGAUGUAUGCUCAUAGUUUUACGUGCUCAGAAUGCCUUUACAAAUCAAUUUUUCUUUUACCUGAGAAAAAUACUAGGUAGAAACUUGAGAUAAUAUCUUCAUUGUUGUUUGCUACACAUGCCAUACAAGGAUAUUAUUCCCUGAAGUUGAAAUGCUAUGAUUACAAUGCAUUUUACAAAAAUGCUCCUAGCUUGCGAAGUACGGAAGCUCUCUUUUAUCUUAGGUUGUUAUGAUCCACUCAUUUUGAUAAACUCCUCAUACUUCUAAAUCUUAUUUAUUGAAUUCAACUAUCAUAUAAUGCUUAAUUAUUUUGAAUGCAGGCCACUUUUGAGUGCCUUCUGAAGACCUAUGGUUUCUUGACACCUGAUUUCUGGAGAGAGACCCGCUUUACCAAGUCUCCCUUCCAGGAGUAUACUGAUCUGUUAGCCAAGCCUACAAAAGCUAUUAUUCACGAAGACGUUGAGAGAGUUGAAGCCUGAUCUCUUUUUUUCCCAGAGAAGGAAAGUCAUUAUGCGGAGCAUAGCUAGUUUAGGUUAUUAAGAUACUUGCCUUCCAUCU
rnacentral:lncRNA from 1 species